GUCGCCGCGGCAACGGCGUCACCCGCGUGUCACGGUCGUGACGUCACCGCGGUGCGUGACGUAAUCUGAGGCGCGCCUUCGCGCCGUCGUCCGGGGAGGGUUCUUUCCCUUCUAACCACCCGCGCUCUCACACUUUGCCUCCGCUCCGCCGUUUCCAUGGCUCCGGUUUCCUACUUUCCUCUUGUCUCCUCCGUCCUCAGCCUGUUCUGUAAUGUGGGAUUUACUAGAAGAGCAGGGCUGGUGUUCGAGGAGGAGAAGUUGAAAUCCUAGAGGGAGGAAGGCGGGGAAGCCAAUACUACUUGCUAUUUCCACUGCAAUGAACGUCUCUGUGUCAUCAAAAUAAGAACUUCAACCCCAAGGUUGAAACAGCCAAGCAGAAUUUGAUGGAAAUAUAUUUAGGAACAGCUAAAUUAGCAGUGCGACGCGUGUUUUCUUUUCAUUGAAGAAUUCAGCCAGUUAAAACGAGUCUAAAUGGAAGUCUGAAAGCUUUCUCUUCAUUGUUGAGGAACAAAAUAUUUCGUGUAUUUUUCGUUUUCCAGAUUCAUUCAUUUAACAAAUAUAAAUUGAGCAGUUUCCAUGCCGUAGGGCCUGUACAAGGCACAUAGCAUUCUAGACAUCUGAAGCAUCAAAACUAAUCAUUUUUAUUUUGAAGAAAAUCACUCAGAAUAUUUUAUGUACUUUGUGCCUUUCAUGAACAGAAUAUUCCAAGCAUUCUCUGCAAAAUACGCAUGAAAACAAUUGGGAGAGAAGAGGUCAAUUAUCUUUGAGAAGCCCAAUUACAGAAUGAAAUUCAAUUCAUUAUUAAAAAUACAUGGAUCUAAUAAAGAAUAAAUAAUUCGAAAAGAAAAGUUUAAGGAAGAGAGAAACGGGAAUGAGAAACAAUUACUGUGGGCUCCCAAUGGCCUGGAGUGAAUCACCAAAGUAACCUAAACAUGAAGUCAUGAAAAACUAAGUGGAUUGUGCCUUUUAGUACUUCCCAUCAUGGGGGAAGUCACCAGCGACCUCCUUACUGUAUUUUGGAUGAUUCAAGAAAUAGAAAGGUGUCCUACUGACUUCUGAAACAGGGUGUCUUCUUAUUGAUUAGGGUCACCGUAAGCCUGGGAGCUGAUGCUUACUCUCAGGCCAUUCUAAAGUCCUACAGUAUCCAGAUGAGAAACGAGAGAAAGCAUAAGCUUUGGAGUCCAAAGAUCAGGAUUUUAGCAUCAGCACUCCACACCUUAGCUAUAUAAUCUUAAAGCAGCCUGCACCUGUGGCCUCAUGGCGCAUUCUCUACAAUCAGUUGACAGAGGAAGAGAAGACUCAGGCCUGGUUUACAGAUGAUUUUGCAUUCUAUGCAGAUGGAAUCUCCCUCUGUCACCCAGGCUGGAAUGCAGUGGCGGGAUCUCAGCUCACUGCAGCCUCUGUCUUCCCGGUUCAAGCGAUUUUCCUGCCUCAGCCUCCUGAGUAGCUGGCUCAUUGCUUUUCUUCUGACUUGCCCUAACUUUCAGUGGACUGAAAUCGGCGUGUCCCAAGGUUUCCAUGUCAGCUGGCUUCCUGCUGAGUGCAGGCCCUGGGAGGUUCUGGCAAGAUAUUGACAGCAUGUGUUCAGCAGAUUUUUGAAUAAGGAAGUAUAAUUUCCCAGAAGGCAUAAGUAUCCAUUUUCUGUCUUCCUUUGGUGUUCCAGUUCAUGGUUCUGGAGUUACACGGGAAUUAGGAUGAUAUUUUGCAACAGUUGUACACGGUACCUGAGGACUGUUUUGCGAUAUUAAGCAAUUCAUGUUGCUUUUAACUAUAUUUCUCGACCCAUUCUGAAUUUUGGCCUAAAAUACAGAAACAUGCUAAUGUCACAUAUCGUACAUAGUUUAAUGUGUUACUAAGAGAUGUGGCCUCAGCUUGAGCCAAUAGUUGUAAAAUUCUUUGGAGAAAUUAAAAGAUUAUAGGUAUUUGUGCUAUAUCUCGAAUCUAUCCACAGACAAAGCACAUUUAAAUUUGAUCUUAUAGCCACUUGAAGACAUAUGAUGGAAAUUCUGACUAAAAAAUGCUGCCAAAGUCAUUAAAUUUUAUUUAGAAAAUACAUAAGGUAUACUAGAUAUAAGAUGUACCAGCUACCUGAAACAACAGAUGAUGCUCACAUAUAGAGCAAAAUGUGGUCUUUGGUGGAAAAGGAAAUCAAUUUUGGAUUUGUGCUAUCCACAUUUCUUUGAUAUGAACUAUUGCUUGUUAUUAAUAAUGUAAACAAAAUAGGUAGGAGGUCCUGAAAGGGAGUCCUCCUUAAAAGGUUUCUGGCUUAGUUUCCUUUCUUUUGAGGAUUUUUAACAUAUAAGCCAAACGAAAUCCAAGGAUUAAACUGAAAAAAAGUAAAAAAAAAAAAUGUACAGAAACAAAAAUCUGUAAAAAUUAGAUCUGUAAAAUCUUAGAUCUGUAAAAAUUCAAAUCUAAGUUUGGCAAUUUCUCACUUAAUUUUUAAAAUAUAUUUUUAAAUUUUAAAGAAAAUGUUUUUCUCCAAAUAGAAAUGAACUGCAUGUGAAAUCAAAAUGAUAUUCUAAUAAAAUAUUAGGACAUUAGAACAAGAAAAUGAAAAUGUUUUUAUGACUUUAAAUUAGUCAGGUGUGGUGGUGCAUGCCUUUGUCUCAGCUACUUGGGAGGCUGAGGCAUGAGAAUGGCUUGAACAAGGCACAUGUACCCUAAAACUUAAAGUAUAAUAAUAAUAAAAUAAAAAAAAAGAAAUAUCCAGAUUAGGCAAAUCUAAAAAAAAAAAAAAAGAAAGAAAGACUUUAAAGGAGAAGAUUCAUUAUCCCAAAGUAAUGUCUAUAAAAACUAUUUUCCAAUCAUUAUAGAUCAAGAUAUGGUCUUGAUUAAAGACUGAUUUUAAUAAAUUAAGCAGUGUGUUUUGAUUUUUGGUCUCCUUUAUCCUAGCAUUGGAAUAUUUGAAAGACGAACUUAAGAAAUGUUAUAUGGAUCUAGAUAUUACUUUAAGAGAUGGUAAAAAAAAGGUAUAUAUGAUCGAUCAUGAUUUAUAUGAUAAAAGUAAAAUAUAAUAUUGUUCUGCACUAUGAGCUUUUCAUAGAUGAUUGUUACAGUGCUUGAAAAUAAUAAGUAUGCUUUAAAAAUUUUACCAAUACUUCCAA